UUCUGCAGCCAUAACAUCUUGGGUUGUGAUGCUGUCAGAUCUCAUAAGCUAAGCAGAGCUGGGCCUGGUCAGUACAUAGAUGGGAUACUGAAUCAGUGGGUGGUUGACAAGAU
ensembl:rRNA 5S_rRNA 5S ribosomal RNA